rnacentral:tRNA from 1 species
AGCAGCGUGGCUCAGUGGAAAGAGCACAGGCUUGUGAGCCAGAGGUCAUGGGUUCUAAUCCUGGCUCUGCCG